UACAGAGGGUGCAAGCGUUAAUCGGAAUUACUGGGCGUAAAGCGCACGUAGGCGGAUAAGUAAGUUGCAUGUGAAAUCCCCGGGCUCAACCUGGGAACUGCAUUCAAAACUGCUUGUCUAGAGUAUGGUAGAGGGGAGUGGAAUUUCCGGUGUAGCAGUGAAAUGCGUAGAUAUCGGAAGGAACACCAGUGGCGAAGGCGACUCCCUGGACCAAUACUGACGCUCAGGUGCGAAAGCGUGGGGAGCAAACAGG
rnacentral:rRNA from 1 species